rnacentral:lncRNA from 1 species
UUCAUCCCAAAUGGUGAUAGAAUCACUUGGGAUGUUCUUUUCCUAUGUGUGAGCCUUGUCUCCUAAGAAGAAUGGAAACAAUCUCAGCUUGAAAGCAUCUUCAGAGGCACCAUUGAUCUUGGACAAACUACAAUAUUUGUCAAAUCUAUCCAAAUAAUCAAUUGGAUCCUCCAAAGCAAGACCAUGGUACUUGUUGUUCUCUAUCAUGUUGAUCAAGCUGGAUUUGAUCUCAAAACUGUUGUUCUCCACAGCUGGUUCCCUAAUGCACAUCCUAUUCCCAUGGAUAUGAGGCUGAUCAUAGGUGCCAAUAACUCUAGGUUGGCGCUGUAGGUGUUGUGGCCUAAGGUUUGCAGCUAUCCUGAUUCCUUUCUUCCAUAUAUAUCUUGUUCAGGCUGACCCUGAUUCCUUUCCAUCUCAAGCCUCAAUCUAUCCAAAUGGGAUUGUCUUUCUUCCUCUCUUCUCUUUCUUGCAAUCUUCCUUUCAAAAGCUCUGAUGUCUUCAACUCUUGGAACAAGGUUUGAUGUUCCUCUACUCCUCAAGUUCAUACACCUGACAUUCAAAGAGAGAUAAGAUAGAGAAUCAGUAACUAGAUACAAGAAAAUAAUACUUAGUCUCAAGCAAUGACCAAAUCUCAAC